ACGGCCAUAUCAUGUUGAAACACCGGUUCUCGUACGAUCACCGAAGUUAAGCAACAUCGAACCUCGUUAUUUCCUAGAUGGGUGACCGCUUGGGACUAUCAUGUG